rnacentral:rRNA from 1 species
AGUCGAGCGGUAACAGAGGGUAGCUUGCUACUUUGCUGACGAGCGGCGGACGGGUGAGUAAGGCUUGGGUAUCUGCCCAGUCGAGGGGGAUAACCGUUGGAAACGACGGCUAAUACCGCAUACGCCCUACGGGGGAAAGCAGGGGAUCUUCGGACCUUGCGCGAUUGGAUGAGCCCAAGUGAGAUUAGCUGGUUGGUGAGGUAAUGGCUCACCAAGGCGACGAUCUCUAGCUGGUCUGAGAGGAUGACCAGCCACACUGGGACUGAGACACGGCCCAGACUCCUACGGGAGGCAGCAGUGGGGAAUAUUGCACAAUGGGGGAAACCCUGAUGCAGCCAUGCCGCGUGUGUGAAGAAGGCCUUCGGGUUGUAAAGCACUUUCAGUGGUGAGGAAAGGCAAGUGGCUAAUACCCGCUUGCUGUGACGUUAACCACAGAAGAAGCACCGGCUAACUCCGUGCCAGCAGCCGCGGUAAUACGGAGGGUGCGAGCGUUAAUCGGAAUGACUGGGCGUAAAGCGCACGCAGGCGGUUUGUUAAGCCAGAUGUGAAAGCCCCGAGCUCAACUUGGGAACAGCAUUUGGAACUGGCAAGCUAGAGUCUUGGAGA